GUCUAUUUUUCUUAAACUAUAAGUAAUAGGUCAACUAUAUAUGUUGUAUAGAAGCAUUGUUAGCUGUACAUUUUCCCUGGCAUGGUUCAUCUGACCUUGACCUCAUUUUCAAGGUUCAUUGGUCUUUGUUUAGUUAUCUUGGUUAAUGUUAAGUUUAUGUGACAGUUGUAUUAAAGCUUAGCUUUAUACUUAGGACUAUUAACAUAAUAUCAAUGAUAAG
rnacentral:lncRNA from 1 species